GCGGCGUGCUUACACAUGCAAGUCGAACGAUGAUGCCCAGCUUGCUGGGUGGAUUAGUGGCGAACGGGUGAGUAACACGUGAGUAACCUGCCCUUAACUCUGGGAUAAGCCUGGGAAACUGGGUCUAAUACCGGAUAUGACUCCUCAUCGCAUGGUGGGGGGUGGAAAGCUUUUUGUGGUUUUGGAUGGACUCGCGGCCUAUCAGCUUGUUGGUGAGGUAAUGGCUUACCAAGGCGACGACGGGUAGCCGGCCUGAGAGGGUGACCGGCCACACUGGGACUGAGACACGGCCCAGACUCCUACGGGAGGCAGCAGUGGGGAAUAUUGCACAAUGGGCGCAAGCCUGAUGCAGCGACGCCGCGUGAGGGAUGACGGCCUUCGGGUUGUAAACCUCUUUCAGUAGGGAAGAAGCGAAAGUGACGGUACCUGCAGAAGAAGCGCCGGCUAACUACGUGCCAGCAGCCGCGGUAAUACGUAGGGCGCAAGCGUUAUCCGGAAUUAUUGGGCGUAAAGAGCUCGUAGGCGGUUUGUCGCGUCUGCCGUGAAAGUCCGGGGCUCAACUCCGGAUCUGCGGUGGGUACGGGCAGACUAGAGUGAUGUAGGGGAGACUGGAAUUCCUGGUGUAGCGGUGAAAUGCGCAGAUAUCAGGAGGAACACCGAUGGCGAAGGCAGGUCUCUGGGCAUUAACUGACGCUGAGGAGCGAAAGCAUGGGGAGCGAACAGGAUUAGAUACCCUGGUAGUCCAUGCCGUAAACGUUGGGCACUAGGUGUGGGGGACAUUCCACGUUUU
rnacentral:rRNA from 1 species